rfam:Camelus ferus unplaced genomic scaffold scaffold1602, whole genome shotgun sequence.
GAGGGUAAGAUCUCAGUGGUAGAGAGCAUGCUUAGCAUGCGUGAGGGCCUGGGUUCAAUCCCCAGUACCUCCA